AAAAGAACUAGGCUGUAAUAACAUGUACUAUUUGACAUGUUGCAUUACACUCGUCUUGCGUUUUAAAAACAUUCACAUGUGAAUGAUGUAAAUUGGGAGGAAGGUCUGCGUCUCGUUAUCCAUGACAUUGUUAAAUCUCCGGUUCUCAGCCCGUCGCUGAACAGAGCAGACGCAGAGAGAGGUGAGAGUGCAGCGGGAGAGAAAGACCUCGCGCUUGCAGGACAGCACUGGGGAUAUUUGGAAAGUCGUUGAGGAUUCAAAGAGCAAGCAAAAAGGAAACCAGCCAGUUUAGAGGUUUCAGCACUUUCUCGUUAUCUCUCAGCAGCGAUGUCGGUUUUCUUCUGCCCUGAAGAACCUCUUGAGAAAGAAGAGCUGCAGAUAUCCAGCCAUGAUGAUGACAAAGCUUUGGAGGACAGACCAGGCAUUCACAUAAUAGGACUUGGACUGAAGCAGGAAGUAAUCAGCCCCUCUGCGCAUUCGUGCUACAUUAUAGAAGCGCCACAUGUGCUGGAUUCGAAGCUGUAUCUUAUUUGAAAUAUCCUGG